GAAAAAAGUUUCUUUUUUUAUAUUGUUCCUAAGCAUAAAGUGAAAUUCUUCGAGCAUUGUUUUGAAGUACUCGGCUCUUUUCCCGACUCUCUUACACGACCUUCCAUCACAGAUUUUUACACUCUUACAUGAUUUUAUAUUAAUACUCCCUGGAUGAGCUUAACACGGCUCUAUAAUAAUGUAACACUAUCCUUGAACUCUGUGGAAAGCAUCAUAAACACUGUACUCAACUAGACACCAAUACCACAUCGAAUAUCAGUGUUCUUCUUCGCAGACAUGGUGGUCAUGCUUGGGUCAU